CUUUUAGAAUGUGUCUUCGUGAUGGAUCUGGGGAUUGGAGGAUGUCACCUGCUAGGCUAUGACCUUUUCCAGCCUCAACUCUGUCUCCUGUCAAAACUGCCUACCUCCUGCCCUUACGUUUGACUUGCUCCUGAUCCCACCUCCCUACCCUGGUUCCUGGCCCUGUGGCUUGGUCCGAUCUUGACAUCUGCUAUGUGUAUCCAGUGUUGGAACUGCCUGUUUAGCCAGAUGUGGAGCCAUCCACUCUGUAGGAAGCCCCUGGUGGCAGGUGGCAGGGCUCAGACUUUCCUCUCCCCACCCUCCUUAGCACCCAAAUGGGGGCCUGGCCCUGCAACCCUUUCUGAAGGAUGAAUGACCUACUCUGGGUGUUCCCACUCAUCCUUGUGACUAAUUAGAGCAAAGGGAGAGGGAGGUGUUGAGAGGACAUUUCUGACAAGCUUGUGUGUGUGAAAGAGAUUUCCCUUCUAGACUACUGAGUGAUUCCUAUCUUGUAUUAAGAUCAGAUAUUUAGAUCUGAAAUCAGAGUGUCAUCAACAGAUUUAAGGUGUGAUCUCAGGCCGGAGCAAAGAAAAUUGGUGGUGGGAACCCAGGAAGAACAACAGGAUCAGGCCAAGACUGCUAAGCUUCCUGAAAAGCUGAGAUUACAGGUGUUUACCAUCAUGCCUGCCUCCUGAUUUACUUUGUUAAGCUUUUAUUGAGAUAUAACACACAUACUGUCCAAUCCACUCAUAUAAAGUAUAUAAUUCAAUGUUGUUUUGGGUAUAUUCAGAGUUGUACAACCAUUAUUACAAUCAAUUUUGGAAAACUUUCAUAAUUAACUUCCUUUUUUUCUUUUAAAAAUUUGUUUAAAAAAUUAACUUACUUUUGAAGGAAAUUGUCUAUUAU
rnacentral:lncRNA from 1 species